GGAGUUAGCCGGUGCUUCUUCUGUGAGUGAUGUCCUUCCUGCCGGUUAUUGACCCGCAGGCCUUCUUCCUCACUGAAAGUGCUUUACAACCCGAAGGCCUUCUUCACACACGCGGCAUGGCUGGAUCAGGGUUGCCCCCAUUGUCCAAUAUUCCCCACUGCUGCCUCCCGUAGGAGUCUGGGCCGUGUCUCAGUCCCAGUGUGGCUGAUCAUCCUCUCAGACCAGCUACGGAUAGUCGCCUUGGUGAGCCGUUACCUCACCAACCAGCUAAUCCGACAUAGGCUCAUCCGAUAGCGCGAGGCCCGAAGGUCCCCCGCUUUCCCCCGUAGGGCGUAUGCGGUAUUAGCCUGGGUUUCCCCAGGUUAUCCCCCACUACCGGGCAGAUUCCUAUGCAUUACUCACCCGUCCGCCGCUCGCCACCAGGGAGCAAGCUCCCCGUGCUGCCGCUCGACUUGCAUGUGUUAGGCCUGCCGCCAGCGUUCAAUCUGAGCCAGGAUCAAACUCUGA
rnacentral:rRNA from 1 species